UCAGGGACCGUGCGAAUGAGCCGCGCCGAACUCCGCCAGGCCCGGAAGGGAGCAACGGCAGGCGCCGGAUCAUUGCGCCGCGACCUCCCCUGGCG
rnacentral:SRP_RNA from 1 species